AGAUUGAACGCUGGCGGCAGGUCUAACACAUGCAAGUCGAGCGGUAGAGAGGUGCUUGCAUCUCUUGAGAGCGGCGGACGGGUGAGUAAUGCCUAGGAAUCUGCCUAGUGGUGGGGGAUAACGUUCGGAAACGGACGCUAAUACCGCAUACGUCCUACGGGAGAAAGCGGGGGACCUUCGGGCCUCGCGCCAUUAGAUGAGCCUAGGUCGGAUUAGCUAGUUGGUGAGGUAAUGGCUCACCAAGGCGACGAUCCGUAACUGGUCUGAGAGGAUGAUCAGUCACACUGGAACUGAGACACGGUCCAGACUCCUACGGGAGCAGCAGUGGGAAUAUUGGACAAUGGGCGAAAGCCUGAUCCAGCCAUGCCGCGUGUGUGAAGAAGGUCUUCGGAUUGUAAAGCACUUUAAGUUGGAGGAAGGUUGUAACCUAAUACGACUGCUAAACUUUGAACGUUACCGACAGAAAUAAGCAACCGGCUAAACGUUCGUACGCC
rnacentral:rRNA from 1 species